GCGAUCGCCAGGGGGCGUCCUUUCCCAGGGGAAAGGGCUGAGAAGUUACCCCUCGAACCUGAUCCAGGUCAUGCUGGCGGAGGGAUUGGCGAGCGGAUGGCGA
rfam:Desulfacinum hydrothermale DSM 13146 genome assembly, contig: EJ40DRAFT_scaffold00026.26